GGGAGGAGCGCAGGAAAGACCAGGUGGGGCUGCGGCCAUACUGAGGAGCGCGCCUCUGACUCUCAGCGUUCGGGCUUUCUCAGCCUCUGCUCUAACUCGCCUUGAAACCCAGCACACACUAGAGACUGGAAAAAUCAAACCCUUGCAGCAACGAUAAAAGCACUGAGAAGCGGCCGACUUCCUGAGGCCUGGAAAGAAAGGUCAUUGGAAGGUACUUUUCUCACUGCCGCUUGUGUUUUCUUGGGCACAGCUAAGUUCAAGGCCUGCCUCUCCCAGUCUUACCUACUCAGGCUCUCGGGUGAAGGGAGAGCAGACAGCUGCUGAAAAAGUGUGGCUGUGAGUCCAAGGGAAGGAUACGGAACCCUCAGGAAGAAGAUUACUCAGUGUAUUUAAUGCUACCCUUCCUCAAUCCCACCCAAAGCUCACAUGGUUAAGAACCCGUCGAGGAGUCUGCGAGGGCCUGAGGCACUGCUAAGCAUUCUGACAUCUGUGGUUAGAGCGUCUACGUGAAGAUUACCCAUGCUGGGCUCCAGUGUUUCAAUCACAACCCCAGAAUGAGCGCCUGGUCACUCUGUGGUCUAAACUCUGAGAGAGGAGAGCAUUUCAUACUACGCUGUAUUUCGUAAACAAUGAUUUGAUACAUUGAAGAAACCAUAAAUAUUAUUUAUCUUACCAAAGGCCUCAGAAAGUCCAAACACCACAGCUAAUUACGGUUCAAUAAUAGAUUCAAUAAGCUGAA